rnacentral:lncRNA from 1 species
UCUUGGACGUUGCUACUUCACUUCACCAUCAUCUCUCUCUCCAUCUCCCUUGAGCUUUCAUUCCUUUCAGAGAGAGAGAGAGAGAGUCAGAGAGAGGGAAUCAUUCCACAAUCAGUCAUAUUCCUCCUAAAUCUUGAGAGGUCAGUUCUCGCAAAGCCCACCGGAGACGACAGCAAUGGCUGAAAAGGUGCAUGUUACAUUCCUCAUCCUUCCAAUUUAUCAAGACUCUUUCCUUCAAACUGAUAGAAUGAUUAUUGUAACCCACACGUGAUCAGCUCUUUUACAUUCUUGCAUAAAAGGAUAAAUUUUUCUCAUUCUUCUGGUGGCAGAAAGAGCCAUGCUUUCCUCGUCUUUUAGCUUCGUUUUGUUUGCAGAGUACGAAAGAUCUUUGCUAGUGCUGUUCACUCACUUUCUCUGUGUUUGUGCGUUUGCGCGUGUGACUCUGGAAUGUAGAAGGUAAAAAUGGAAAUCAAGGUUGACCUGGGGUGCUCUCGCUGCUACAAGAAGAUCAGGGAAGUGAUCGGCAAAUUGCCUG